rnacentral:rRNA from 1 species
GACGUAGGGCGCGAGCGUUGUCCGGAUUUAUUGGGCGUAAAGAGCUCGUAGGCGGCUUGUCGCGUCGACUGUGAAAUCCCGCGGCUCAACUGCGGGUCUGCAGCCGAUACGGGCAGGCUAGGAGUUCGGUAGGGGAGACGUGGAAUCCUGGUGUAGCGGUGAAAUGACGCAGAUAUCAGGAGGGAAACACCCGGUGGGCGA